rnacentral:rRNA from 1 species
GACGAACGCUGGCGGCGUGCUUAACACAUGCAAGUCGAACGGAAAGACCCUGCUUUUGUGGGGUGCUCGAGUGGCGAACGGGUGAGUAACACGUGAGUAACCUGCCCUUGACUUUGGGAUAACUUCAGGAAACUGGGGCUAAUACCGGAUAGGAUCUCCUGCUGCAUGGUGGGGGUUGGAAAGUUUCGGCGGUUGGGGAUGGACUCGCGGCUUAUCAGCUUGUUGGUGGGGUAGUGGCUUACCAAGGCUUUGACGGGUAGCCGGCCUGAGAGGGUGACCGGCCACAUUGGGACUGAGAUACGGCCCAGACUCCUACGGGAGGCAGCAGUGGGGAAUAUUGCACAAUGGGCGGAAGCCUGAUGCAGCAACGCCGCGUGCGGGAUGACGGCCUUCGGGUUGUAAACCGCUUUCGCCUGUGACGAAGCGUGAGUGACGGUAAUGGGUAAAGAAGCACCGGCUAACUACGUG